GAUGGAGGGAGGGAAGGCUUUCACUCUUGUCUCAAUCUGCUUGUUGUUUUAAUAUAUCCUAUAGGUCUCAAACUGUUAGUGCAUGAAUCUUUCUCCAUUCUUUGAUUUCUUGGAGGUGACCACAGAUUCCCAGUUUCAGCUCCAACAUAAACCAGAUAAGCCAAUCACCCAUCAAACUUCUCCUGUCUAGAAGAGCAUGGGGACUAAGUGACCAGACUUCACUUGUUACAUUCAGCCCAAGAUGAAACAGUUCCAGGAGCCUAUACUUCAGUGGGAGUAUACCAAGUGGGAGACUGACUCAAAAGAGUCACAAGCUCUUGGCAACCCAGUGGGACACCAUGUGAAAUGCUGCCACACAGCUCUCCUGAUUGGAAAGAGGAUACUUCUCACAAUGCUGGACACAGAGACACUGGAUGUGGAGUCAAGCCACUUUAUCCGCUGCUCCUCAGGAAUCAAUAAAUGUUAA
rnacentral:lncRNA from 1 species